rnacentral:misc_RNA from 1 species
UCAAACUUGGUCAUUUAGAGGAAGUAAAAGUCGUAACAAGGUUUCCGUAGGUGAACCUGCGGAAGGAUCAUUAUCGAGCUACCGGGGUCUCGAGGGACUCCGCUCUAGCCCACCCGUGCCGAACGAACCUGUUGCCUUGGCCGGCCCGCCCUGUAGGGCCAUCGGGGGACUCUUUAGCGGUCUCUGGAUCCGUGUCGGCCAAGGAUGCGGACACUUCCUUGCUGUCGCUAGGGGGGAGAAGCAGCAAAACUCGAUUUAAAGCAUUGGAGUCUAAAAUCUUGAUUGAAAUCAGUUAAAACUUUCAACAAUGGAUCUCUUGGUUCCGACAUCGAUGAAGAACGCAGC